GGCAAUUCCACAUGUAUCAUUACAUCCAUUCUUGAAUACCAAGUGCAAGGAAGAGAACAGAAACUUGAUGUAACUUGUAUUCAUUUAAUUAAAACAAUUAACAUUUACUAAAAAAUUCCAGUAAUUACAAGUAACUAGUAUUGUAAGAAAUAGAGUCAAGAAAUGAUGAGGCUGUACAGGAGGGGCAAAAUCUCACCUUAAGGAACCCCCUUCACCUAAAAAAAGCUGAAACCUGAUCCAUCAUGUUCCUAUCCUGUGAAUUUCUGUGGCACCUAGUUUCAAUCUCAAAAAAUCUUAAUGUUCAAUUGUGUGCUCAAUAUCUAACUUGCCAAGGAUUUAACAAAUCCAAUGCAUCAUCCAUUCAGAUUGAGGCCUUCCCUAUAUUUUGGGCAAAAGGUGAUUCUACCAAAUUGACUCUUAUCUUUCAGAAAAUAUCAACCAAGUUCAAUGCCUUUUUCUCUUGCAGCUUCUACGAUGGAAUUAGCAUCUCCUCUAAUCUUGGAUAAGUUAUAAUAGCAAUUCCACAGCUUAAUGGAAAAUGGAUAAGCGGAUAAAGCUCUCCUGUAAAAUCUCUCAGAAAUUAACUCAGUACCCUCAAUUCCUUCCAAAAUACCUGCAGCAUUAACCCAUACAUACUCUGGUGCUAUUGGGAUAGCAUGAAAGAUUGCACUGACCAAGGUUGAGCUUGCCCAAUACAACAUACUGCCAGAAGAUACUUCACUAAAAUGCUCACCUCUGCUCAACAGCUUACAAGCAGAAAAUGCUAAUUGAUAGUUAGAUGGCACAAUCUCCAAGAUGGCUUCCACAAAAUCAACCAGUUCCUGUGGCUGGCUAAAUUUUUGGGGUACAAGAGAGGGCCCAUGCCAAACUUCAAGAACUAUGUUAACUAAAGAAAAAUCACAUGAAACUGGACUCAACAAGUUACUAAUUAGCUGCCGAACUCUUGGCUUCUCAAUUUUAUUUAUGAAUCGUCUUGAUAACGGCUCAGACACAGGAAGAGCCCGGGCAUCAUCCAAAUAACCAUUCAAUACAUUCAGUUGCUCACUAAUAAAAGCAUCCUCCUUUAGCUGUAACUCAUAGUUAAGCAAGAAGUUGGCAUGUUCUCUCAAGCAAUGCUUGAAGAUUGGUGGAGCUGCAGCCUUGAAUGCUUUAUCAAUGGCAUUGCGGGCCUCAAUAUGAUCAUUAUGCAACAAUUUAGCAAGAGAGUAAUUAAGAUAUCCAAAUGUCAUAUCCAUCCAGUUAGAAUUGGAUGUCAAAAACUCUGGAUUGGAUGCUGAGGCUAAUCUUGAUAACUGAUCUGAGCUAUUUGUAUGUGUAACAUCCAGCUUUUCUUGUUGAUGAUAUUGAACUUCUGAAGAGGAGUUGAAGCGACGGACAAUAAGCUCUUUCACAAAUCCAACAUCUCCCUUUCGGAGGGCACAUUCAAUAUAUUGAUUCCAGAUGCAAUGAAUUCCAGGCGUUUCCUUUGGCCAGCUCCUAAUGGCUUCCUCAAAACCCUCAAAAUUCUCGAAGUCAUUCAUCUGUAACCUUGCUGAUAUAAGAACUAAUUCUAAGCAGAAUGGGUACAACUUCGUAUAUUCAUCCAACAAACUCCCACAGCAUUCUAAGCCACCAAGUGCCACCAUACAUCUAAUAUGGCAGAGACCAAAAUGUUGCGCUGAUGUAAGAUCAGCCUCGCUUGCAAGUGAUCCAGUAUCAACAGAUAAUUUAACAGAAUCCACUGCCAUUUCUACCAGUUUAAUGGCCCUCAGCUUCUCCUCAUCCAGCAAGUGAGUACAAGGCCAUUCAAUUGCAAGGAGUUCUUUGUCACAUUCAAAUUUUUGUACAACAGCCUCAGGCAAUGUCCUGUAAAUAACUAAGUACACACAACAAACCCAGAACAUAUAUUUGUCAGAAAUUUUUAAGCAUGCAAGGAUAUCAGAAAGCAACAAAGAAUGAGGUUGCUGAUCUGAAUUAGAAGCCACAGUAAAGAAUCCACAGAUUUUCUGAAUUGCCUUCUCAACAUUCCCAGACAUGCACAAACAAUUCAUCAUCUGCAAAAAAAUGUCUAAGAUGCAUGCGCUAGCAUACAUUUCAUCGCUUUCACGAGCAGAUGCGUGGUGGCAGAGUGCUGUGAGGGCAGCAUCAUAUGCAGAUAACCGAUCAACAAGAUGCAUACGACUGUUGAUAUACAUAAGCCAAAGUCCGUAGGACCUGUCAUUGUGUUUGACCUGAAGAACAAGAAGGAAAGCGUUUCCAUACAAAAAUUUGCAUUUCAAUUACAUUAAGAGAGGAAAAAGAAUAGAUUCAGAAAUGGACAAGAUAACUGCAUAGUGCGCUAUUGCUAAAACAAUGAACACACACAUGCAAAAAUAGAAGCCAUCCUCACAUACAACAAACAACCUCCAGCACCUGCACAUUAUCUGCUUUUUUAAUGAAAACCAAAGGGUAUGCAUAUAUCUAUAUAAAGCAAAAAGGGGAAUAUUGUUGCCUUCUAAAAAAAAAAAUUAAAGAACAUCAUCCACCUAGAUUUUCUAAUCACAAUUGACAAAAGAUAAAAUCUCAAAAAGGAGAAUAUCAGCCAAAACAAUCUUAUUGAACAGUGCAAAAUAUUACCAAAGGUCCAUCAUCCAUGUCAAUCAAAAAAUUAGAAGACUACAAUUAUAAGACUGACAUAGAAUAAGCCCUAGUGCCCUACAAGUCUACCUAGACAAUUUAUCAUCUCCAAUUAAAUUACAAAUGUAGUGAAACACAGAUAUAUCACUCUUUUGUAGCUCAUUUAUAAUAAUAAAUCAACAGAGACCUGUAACCAAUCUCUGAACAUAGACUAUUAUGGAAAAUCAGGACGUUAACUCCCUUAUUCUCAAUAACAUACCGCAUAGGAGAACAUGUCCUCCUUCGCAAUGGAUUUGAUGUUGCCGUAAUAAAUAAGCAGGUAAGUUAUCCACAGAAUUUCAGAUUUUGGAUCAGCCUCAAUAGCUCGUGAUAGUAUAGAAAGAGCCUGCAACAAUGAGGAAUUGGGACAACCGUAGCUGAUCAAUCAUGAUGUAGCAGGUUAAAUUAAAAUGCAAGGCACAAAGCUUACCUUUUUCAUACCCUCUAGUUUAUUAACCUCCUGAUUGAGAAUAAGGAGGGCCUUCUCAAGGGAUUGCACAUCAUCGGGUAGCAUUUGGUUCAGAUGGUUCUAAAUGUACAUUUAGCAAAAAGGAAACUUAAAUGAGAUGGUCAAUUAAACAACAAAAGAAGUCAAUCAUGUAUCAGGGGGAAAAAACCACCAUUUAUACAAAAGGACCUCUUUAAGAGGCACAAGUGAGCAAGCACAAUCUAUGUUGAGGUAAAGCAUAAAUGUGUCAAAGCAAUAGAUUUAAACUUGAUUUCUCUUGAGUUUCUUAUUGUCACAUCAGAAAGAUCUAAGUCUUUAGAAGAAGCACAUUUUAAGAUAUAGCUACAACGAAUCAAAUACAUGUGGCAUAAUAUCCCAAUUGGAUUUCACACAAAAAAUAAAAAAUGAACAAGUCUGCUUAAGAAUAUUAGACUAAUAUACAAACAAAGUGGAUGGUAAAAACAACUUUCACACUAUAAGCCACUCAAGUUCAAAAUGCACUCUUAGAAACAAGUAAAGCAGAUGCGAGAGGGUGGUAAGAUCUCUGGAAUCAAGUAGUUAGUCAAGUAUUUUCAAAACUCAAUCCCAAACAACAUAGAGAGGAUGAACAACACUUCUUCAGAAAAUUAAACACCAGCUAAGCUAUGUGACACAAGUUUCUUUAACAUUAGAAAAGCAAUAAGAAAAAAAAAUCCCCGUCUAAGUCAUGUAAAUAAGUUGAAGGUUAAGACUGGGAGUUGGCUACAAAGAACUACAAUUAUGACAAAAUAUCUUCUAAGAAUACAAUAACAGAUGACAAUCAAACAGCAAACAAUAGGCAAAUAAUGUAAAGAAAAUAGCAACAAACAAACCACUAUGCUGUUUCUACUCCGAAAGUAUAAUGAUGGCUUGUCCCAACUCCCAUUGACCUCAAUACGACCAUCAUUGCUAUGCAAAAAGGGCUCAUCAGCAGGCAAGUCUAUUUGAAAUAAAUUUGAUAAAGCUAAGCAGACACUGAAGCAUUUCUUCCAGCAUUGUCCAUGUCUCCGUGCAACAACAGACUCAUAUGAAUGCGGAUCAGCUUUCAAAACAUCUAAGCCAACUAGAUAAGUUGGUGGAGUCAAAAAACUACGACACUUGGCAAGUCCUGCGGCACCAUUACGUUUUCUUUUCUGUAAUGUCAAUCCAACCUGACAGUCAGCACUAUCAGAACCAUCAUGCUGAUGUUGGCCCGCGUUCUCAUUGGAGAAGUCCCUAACAUGCUGCCAAGGACAUUGAUCAUUAUUGCAUUUACCACGGAGGUCAUACAUGCAGAGUGGCCAAAAUGGAUCAACUGCAAGAUCACAGGUAAAAGAUCCAAUUCCAUUUUCAAAUAUAUUCCCAAAACUAUCCUCCACUGGUUUUGCUAUGAGAAUGCUUUGCUGGAUAUCCCCAGCAUUGAUGCAACCACCAGCCCCAUUGUAAACAUCAUAGGUGUCACCUUGUUGAUUUUUCCUACUUUGUAAAACUAAUGAAUUGAAUGGAGACUCAACUUUCAUAUGAUAAAAUGCACUCCUUAAAAUCAAAGUAGGUGAAAAUAAGACGGCUGCCAACUGAUGACCUCUGACAGAAUAUUCAUUACCCUUCUUUUUGUGCUUCUGGAUUUGAACAGUAGACCCAAAAACAUCUCUCUCACGCUGAUCAUUACCUCCAAGAUCAAAUUCUUGAUUUCUUUCUGCCUCUAAUAAUGGAACACUGCCAUUGCUUGUCUGAGUUCUUUCACUUCCAUUGUCAUUUUCAGCCCCCAGCUCAUCUGCAGACUCAGGGUUCGAUAAACCACUAUUCUUUGGGAAAAUUCUCCUUCCUAGCCGCGCAAAUAGUUCAGACCUUAAUGUUGCCUCAAGAAUUAAAGAAUCCUGAGAGCCACCAAUGGACAAAUUUUUGUUAGAAUGAUUAGUGUUCUUUUGCCUUCCCACGGAAUUUUGUUCUCUUUGCUCAGUGGAAGUGGGUUGCACAGUUGCUUGACCUAAUGGAGAUGUCUCCUCAUCUUCAUCUGCUGAAAUAUUAGGAUCAUUUGAUGGAGAGCUUACUGCAUUUGCAGCAUUUUCCCUGUUAAGAUGCAAUGGCUCUGAUGUACUUGCAUCUGGUUCACUGCAUGGUUCAGACCCCAUAUUUUGCCCAUUGACAUGCCUAUAGGACAUCUUCAAGGGGCCACCAUUGGCGCAUUGGAUGUUUGAAUCAUAACCUGGUUGGUUAUGACCAUCAUACUCAGGCCUCCUAGAAUGGCUUGAUGGUGGCAUUAGUUCUAGAUUUCUAGACGUGUUAUCCAUAUGGUUCAACCCAAUUCCAACAUGCUCAGGCUUCCUUGUGGACCAUAACAAACUGGAAUCAUUCAAAAUGAAAGAUCGAAAUUGAGCCGAGUAAAGUUCCCUUUUAUGAUAAAGUUCAGUACAUCUAGCAUUAGCCUCAACCAAAGCCCUUUGGGCUUUUCGAUAAGCUUUAAGAGCAUUUCUUUCUUCAAUUUCACAUAUGCGCCUAUGCUCUUGUGCUUCUUCCAGCUCCUUGUCCAGUGAUUCCUCCAUUUCAACCAAUGAAUGCAUAUCUAUGUUGCUAUGUUCCGAGACAUUUGGAGCACCUAAAUAAUUCCAAAGGCCUAUAUCGUUCAAAGAUGCCUGAGAAAUAUUGUUCAAUGAUGAUUGAACCGUCCUGUCAUUGGAUACACCUUCACGAUACUCACAACCAUUCAUUAGAUGCUGUUCACUAGUCGAUGUCCUUAAGAGAGAAAGUGGUGGCCAAUGUCCACCAAUAUUAACCGGAUGAUUCAACUCAAUACUGUUCUGUAAUGUAGCAAUAAUAUUAAUAGGGAGAAAAUACAGACAGUAGUAUGGAUAGAGUACGAUAUAUGAAACAAUUCUAACACCAAAAUUUGUUAAAUUAGAUAAAAAUCAAAAUUAAACAAUUUAUAGAAUAUGUAAUCAUAAUGGUGUGUGUGUCCAUGCAUAUAUCCACGUAUGUGUAUUAUGGAUGAGAAGAAUUCGGGUAUAACCCAAAAAACAAACCAAACUGAUUCAGUUCGUUUCAGUCAGUAUUUUUGUAAAAUUUCAGUCUUCAGUUCAGUUAUUAAGGUCAAAAUAACCUAACCAACCGAAUAUCACCAACCCAUAAUACGCUUCAUUUUUUUUUGUUUUAUCCCUAAAGGCCUAAAAAACUAAUCUUUUUGCAAAAUCCUCACUCCUCAGUUCCUCCCCUCCUUCCUCUUACGUUCCUGCAUUUUGUCAUUCUCCAGUCUGAAGCUCAGCUCUUAUCCUCCAUUCUUCACUGCUUCCUCAUAUCCUCAAUUCCAAACUGUGUUGCUUCCUCAAUUCCUCAAGUCCUCACUCCAAUCUCUACUGUCUCAAGUCACUACAUCAGAUCCUUGAUUAAUCUCACAUUUCCUUGCCUCCUCUCCUCCAUCUCGCUACUCUCAUCUUCUCUGUCUGGAAAGGAACAACUGACGACCUUCCUCUUUGUUGCUCUCCUAAGGUCAUCUCUCAAAUGUGACUCACAAGCCUCAAAGAUCCAAUUGAAUCCGCGUUUGUUUAUUGCUCGAAUUUAAUAAGCAAUCUGUAAAAUUAUUGUUAAUUUUUGUAUUAACUGAAGCCAUUUUGAAAUUACGGUUUAGGAUGAUAAGAUCUUCUUGUGUUUUGACCUUGCAAUUUGCAAUUCUUAGCCUCACAGUCAGCAAUUUUAAUGUGUUAUGUUACUGUGUUUUGAAAUUUUCCCAAUUCUUCAGUUUGGAAAGUCAUUCUUUCAGUUUGGGUCAAUGACUUUGUACUUGAGAAUCUACGAAAACUUUGCAUUCUAUAAAUUGUAACUUCGCAGAAUUGAUCGACUGAACAAUUUUUCAAUUUGGUUGAUUCAGUUUUCCC
rnacentral:misc_RNA from 1 species